GAAAUGCGAUAAGUAAUGUGAAUUGCAGAAUUCAGUGAAUCAUCGAAUCUUUGAACGCACCUUGCGCUCCUUGGUAUUCCGAGGAGCAUGCCUGUUUGAGUGUCAUUAAAUUCUCAAUCCCUUCUGGGUUUAUUCUCAGCUGGGCUUGGAUAUGGGGGUUUUGCCGGCUUUGCAAAGGCAAAGUCAGCUCUCCUGAAAGACAUUAGCAAGACUCUUGUUGCAACCUUUCUAUCUGGUGUGAUAAUUAUCUACAUCAUAGAUUGUGCAUGGUUGGUCUGGCUUCUAAUAGUCCAUUAAAUUGGACAAAACUCUGACAAUUUGACCUCAAAUCAGGUAGGACUACCCGCUGAACUUAA
rnacentral:misc_RNA from 1 species